CCCCAGUAAAACCUAACUGCUGUCAGUGCUCCUGAAUGUAGCAGCUUUUGCCUGCUGUACAACAUUGGAAAUGUUUAAGGGUGAAUUGUCCCUUCAACUUGAAUUUGCUGUCCGACUAUCUGGUACAAUGAAAGGUGCAUGGCAGAAGGACGCUGUCUCCUAAGAUGCCUUCGAUAGCCACCUCAUCAUCACCUGCAGUAGAAAAGGGAACUCUGGAUAAGUUCAGUUGUUUUUAAUUGACAUUUCUCAGCACUGAUAGCUGACUCAUAAAUCUCCCAGCUGCUUUAAAAAUGUGAGUUAACCGAAUUAAACUUGAGUGAUUAGAUCAAUAGUGGGCUCAUAAGCUGUGAAAAUAUAAAAACAGCUGAGUUAAAUUCACUAAACUUCAGAAAUCAUGUUCAAGAAACUCAAGAGAUUAAGUUUGAUGAAGUUUCAUUUUUGUCAAACUGACAAAUGUUGAAUUUACAGGUACAGUUACACUCUCAGCUUGAAGAGCCACUUUUAAAUUUGACAUAAUCGCUUUACAGCUAUCUGACAUCCUCCUGGACUGGUUGCUUUAUAUAUGUUUACAAUCUAUUAUGUUGUCUGUGUUCUGUAGACAUGACAUUUUAUUGCAUGCCUUUUCAUCCAGAAAGCAGAAAUUUUCUUGUCUGAUUUGAAGAUCUAAGAACAAAGGGUUUUGUGUGUGAUACAGGGAGAACAGCUGGUUGACUUGAUUUGCCCAGACUGCUUCCGGUGAUGUUUAUUUUCAUAAUCAACCAUGUCUUAGCGUGUUUGAGACACACAGCAAAUUUCCAAUGUGUAUAUUUUCUUUGAAGUACAAUGGAAAAACAUGGAUCUCUGGAGAGUUUUAACUCUAAUACUAUAAUGCUGUACACGCUAAUAGUGACAUCUGCCAAUACUGUAUGCUGAUCAUGUUUCUAAUUUGAUGAGUUGAGUGAACCCUCAGUGCUGCAUCACUUCAGGCUGAAAGACAUUAAGUCUUUUGUAAAUAAAAAUGAGAAAUUUUAAGUGGAAUGCUUGAUAUUUUGAUUUUCAAAUGAUGAAAUAUCAUACAUUAAUAAAUCAUUCUUCCCAUU